UACAUCGCCAGCCUUUGCAGCUUCCAGCAAUUGUCUGUCUGCCUCUGAAUUGCCUAACGGGAUACCCUCUAAAAACAGAGAAGGAAAGAGUGAUUAACUCUUAUUUAGAAGGUCCUUUGGCUUUGUCACAGAAAUAACAGAGAGUAAGAAAGACUGUGGCUGGGGUAAACAACAAGAAUUCUCAUGGUAACUAAGGAACGGAAGACAUGAGCGAGAGAAGACUGGAGAUGAUGGGUCGGAAUCAGUGUGUCUCCAGCUGAGGAUACUCUCAAGAGUAUUGUUAAAAAAAAAAAAAAAAGACCUCAAAGAUAACUUGACCAGUGGGUGUGGGUAAAGGGAAUGGAGAAGGAAGGCUACAUUGGAGGCAUGUACUUUUGAAUAAAUCCUUAGGUUUUCUAGCAAUAAAUCAGAUAAAGAAAA